UACGUAGGGUGCAAGCGUUAAUCGGAAUUACUGGGCGUAAAGCGUGCGCAGGCGGUUGUGCAAGACAGAUGUGAAAUCCCCGGGCUUAACCUGGGAACUGCAUUUGUGACUGCACGGCUAGAGUGUGUCAGAGGGGGGUAGAAUUCCACGUGUAGCAGUGAAAUGCGUAGAUAUGUGGAGGAAUACCGAUGGCGAAGGCAACCCCCUGGGAUAACACUGACGCUCAUGCACGAAAGCGUGGGGAGCAAACAGG
rnacentral:rRNA from 1 species